ensembl:miRNA Mir6989 microRNA 6989
GGCUGUUGGGGACAGAGGCACAGGAUGCUGCCUGCUGACCACCUGUCCACUGUCUCUGGUCCCAG